AAAUUUAUAAUCUCGCACCUUCGGUGUCCGAGUUGUAAUCUCUAGAAGUGUUUUCCGCGUUGGACCGCACACAAGUCUGUUGGAAUACAGCGGCAUAGAUGGUGAAACCCCCGUAUAUGGUGCGGACGCCCAGCGCUUUGUGAUACACUUUCAAUGAGUCGAGUUGUUUGGGAAUGCAGCUCAAAUUGGGUGGUAAAUUCCAUCUAAAGCUAAAUAUUGGCGAGAGACCGAUAGCGAACAAGUACCGUGAGGGAAAGAUGAAAAGCACUUUGGAAAGAGAGUUAACAGUACGUGAAAUUGUUGGAAGGGAAACGCUUGAAGUCAGACUUGCUUGCCGGAGCUUGCUUCGGUUUGCAGGCCAGCAUCAGUUUUCCGGGGUGGAUAAUGACGGUUUGAAGGUAGCAGUCUCGGCUGUGUUAUAGCUUUCCGUUGGAUACGCCCUGGGGGACUGAGGAACGCAGCGUGCUUUUUGCGAAAGACUCGUCUUUUUCACGCUUAGGAUGCUGGUGGAAUGGCUUUAAACGAC
rnacentral:rRNA from 1 species